rnacentral:siRNA from 1 species
GACAAGUGUUUUGUUUUCUCAUCGC